CUCACACUAGGCGAUGCACUCGCGCUCACACUCACACUCGGAGGAACACACACACACCCUGCCCACACCCCCGGCACACUCACGCCGCCACACACCCGACGCGAUGACACACGCAGCACAAAGACCCCCAGCCCUGCCCCCACGUUCACGUUCACGCUAGCCCUCAUCCCGCAGGCCCAGGCCCCCCCUCCCCCAUUGUCUCCGGCUCAGAACAAAGCCCCGGCUCGGUCGCCGCCACCGCCGCCCGGGAGAGGCCGGCGGGCCGGCGGGCGCGGCCGGACGGGCCGGGCAGCCGCGGGCACUAACCUCCGCGCCGCGCGGCCUCCCUCGCCCGGUCCUGGGGCGCCGUCCGGCGCGGUCAGCCCCCCGGGCAGCGCCCGCCCGUGCGGGGCCUGGGGCUGCGCAUCUUCCGCCGCCGCUGUCUCUCAGUCCGCGAGCAGCUCCCGGCGACCGGCCGUCGGUCCGCGCGCCCCCGCCCGUCGAUCGGUCCGUCCGCCGCCGCCGCCGGGGCGCCGCCUCCUCCACAGCCGCCCCGCGGAGGAUGCGAGAUUCGCCGCCGCGGCCCGCGCCCCUCCCUCCCUCCCUCCCCGCCCUCCGCGCGGUAACCUGAACCCCGCCCUCCGCCCGCGAGCCCCGCCUCCGCCCCCACCCGCUCUCUGCGCCGCUGCCCCCCCAGCCCGUCCUCCCUCCGCCCCUCGACUUCCCGGCCCCAUCCCCGGCCGGAUCCGGCCCCAGCGCCGCCCCUCGUCCCCGCUCCCUUCCCUUCUCCCGGUCCAACCGCCCGGUCCCCCUUCCCCGUCCCGUUCUCCGCAUCCCCUCUCUGAGUCCCAGUCUCCUUCUCGUCCUGCUCUUCCAUCUUCUUUCCCGCCCCCUAUUCCGCCACCGUCCCCUCUUCUCCCUCACUGUUCUAUUCUCCUCCCCUGCGAACCCUUUUCUCCCCGUUCCCCUCUUCCUUCUUCCCAUCGUCUUCUUCUCGUUCCAUCUCUCCGUUCUUUCCUCUCCAGACCCUUAUCCUCCAUCCCUUCUCCUGGAUCCUCUCGCCUCACCUCUUCUCCGCACCAGUUCUCCCCAUGUCCUUUGCCUGCCCUUCUUUCCUGUCUCCCCACCUUUUCCCCCAACCGCUUCUCCUUCUCCCUUUCUCCGUGUUUCAUCCCCACAUCCCCUUACCUCCCAAUUUCCUCUGUCAUCUCUCUUUCCCCAUCCUCUUCUUCCUAG
rnacentral:lncRNA from 1 species